AGUGAACGCUGGCGGCAGGCCUAACACAUGCAAGUCGAACGGCAGCACAGAGGAGCUUGCUCCUUGGGUGGCGAGUGGCGGACGGGUGAGGAAUACAUCGGAAUCUGCCUAUUUGUGGGGGAUAACGUAGGGAAACUUACGCUAAUACCGCAUACGACCUACGGGUGAAAGCGGAGGACCUUCGGGCUUCGCGCAGAUAGAUGAGCCGAUGUCGGAUUAGCUAGUUGGCGGGGUAAAGGCCCACCAAGGCGACGAUCCGUAGCUGGUCUGAGAGGAUGAUCAGCCACACUGAACUGAGACACGGUCCAGACUCCUACGGGAGGCAGCAGUGGGGAAUAUUGGACAAUGGGCGCAAGCCUGAUCCAGCCAUGCCGCGUGGGUGAAGAAGGCCUUCGGGUUGUAAAGCCCUUUUGUUGGGAAAGAAAAGCAGUCGGUUAAUACCCGAUUGUUCUGACGGUACCCAAAGAAUAAGCACCGGCUAACUUCGUGCCAGCCGCCGCAGUAA
rnacentral:rRNA from 1 species